GACCGGCGCACGGGUGAGUAGCGCGUAUGCAACCUGCCUAUAACCGUGGGAUAGCACUUCGAAAGGAGUAUUAAUACCACAUGAGACUGUUUAAUUGCCUGAUUAGACAUUUAAAUUUCCGGAGGUUAUAGAUGGGCAUGCGUGACAUUAGCCAGUUGGCGGGGUAACGGCCCACCAAAGCAACGAUGUCUAGGGGUUCUGAGAGGAAGGUCCCCCACACUGGUACUGAGACACGGACCAGACUCCUACGGGAGGCAGCAGUGAGGAAUAUUGGUCAAUGGACGCAAGUCUGAACCAGCCAUGUCGCGUGCAGGAAGACUGCCCUAUGGGUUGUAAACUGCUUUUCUACGAGAAGAAAGUUAUCUACGUGUAGAUAAUUGCCGGUAUCGUAAGAACAAGGAUCGGCUAACUCCGUGCCAGCAGCCGCGGUAAUACGGAGGAUCCGAGCGUUAUCCGGAUUUAUUGGGUUUAAAGGGUACGUAGGCGGAAUAGUAAGUCAGCGGUGAAAUCCUGCAGCUCAACU
rnacentral:rRNA from 1 species